AUGCCAAGCUCCUCGGCGUGGAACAUCAAGCUUGAUCGUACACUAGUUUCUCUUGGUUUUGAGAAACGUCCACUGGAGCAUGCUAUGUAUAAGCGAGGUAAAGGCAAAGAUCGUCUUCUAGUGGGCAUCUAUGUUGAUGAUCUCUUGAUAACUGGAGCAGAUGAGGAGGAGAUUGCUAGAUUCAAGCUACAAAUGAAGGAGCUUUUCAAGAUGAGUGAUCUAGGGCUCUUGACUUACUAUCUCGGGAUCGAGGUACAUCAAAAGCCGGAGGGAAUCACACUAUGCCAGGAGGCAUAUGCAAAGAAGAUUCUUGAAAGCUGUAGCAUGGAGGACUGCAAUCCAAGUCAUAUUCCAAUGGAGCCUCGACUUAAACUUAGCAAGAGGAGCCAAGCAUCCGCGGUUGAUGCAACGGAUUAUAGAAGUGUGGUCGGAAGCCUAAGGUAUCUUGUGAAUACACGACCGGACUUGGCCUAUUCCGUUGGUGUAGUGAGUCGCUUCAUGGAAGCACCCUCGACAGAACAUUGGGCAGCUGUGAAACAAAUACUCAGGUACAUCAAAGGGACAACUAACUUCGGUUGUGUCUAUUUGAGAGAGAAGCAGAAGGAGAUGGUGGAGCUACUUGGCUACAGUGAUAGCGACUUGGCAGGAGAUAUUGACGACCGUAAAAGUACCUCGGGCGUGACAUAUUUCUUGGGAAGAAGCAUAGUGAGUUGGGUAUCACAAAAGCAGAAGGUGGUCGCAUUAUCAUCCUGUGAAGCAGAGUAUAUUGCAGCUGCAACCGCGGCAGGUCAAGGUGUGUGGCUAGAAAGGCUACUCGGUGACCUCACUGACAAGGAACCGGAAGGAGUGGUGCUCUACGUUGACAACAAGUCCACGAUUGCCCUAUGUAAGAAUCCAGUGCAUCAUGACAGAAGUAAGCACAUUGAUAUAAGGUAUCAUUACAUACGGGAUUGCGUGGAAGAAGGCAAGAUUGAAGUCAACUACAUUUGCACCGACGAUCAGCUUGCAGACAUCCUGACCAAGUCUUUGGGGCGACAGAAGUUCACGGAGAUGCUGAGAAGGAUCGGCAUCCAAGCUGUAAAGUGA
rnacentral:rRNA from 1 species